rnacentral:rRNA from 1 species
AGUUUGAUCCUGGCUCAGGACGAACGCUGGCGGCGUGCUUAACACAUGCAAGUCGAACGGAAAGGCCCUGCUUUUGUGGGGUGCUUGAGUGGCGAACGGGUGAGUAACACGUGAGUAACCUGCCCUUGACUUUGGGAUAACUUCAGGAAACUGGGGCUAAUACCGGAUAGGAGCUCCUGCUGCAUGGUGGGGGUUGGAAAGUUUCGGCGGUUGGGGAUGGACUCGCGGCUUAUCAGCUUGUUGGUGGGGUAGUGGCUUACCAAGGCUUUGACGGGUAGCCGGCCUGAGAGGGUGACCGGCCACAUUGGGACUGACAUACGGCCCAGACUCCUACGGGAGGCAGCAGUGGGGAAUAUUGCACAAUGGGCGGAAGUCUGAUGCAGCAACGCCGCGUGCGGGAUGACGGCCUUCGGGUUGUAAACCGCUUUCGCCUGUGACGAAGCGUGAGUGACGGUAAUGGGUAAAGAAGCACCGGCUAACUACGUGCCAGCAGCCGCGGUGAUACGUAGGGUGCGAGCGUUGUCCGGAUUUAUUGGGCGUAAAGGGCUCGUAGGUGGUUGAUCGCGUCGGAAGUGUAAUCUUGGGGCUUAACCCUGAGCGUGCUUUCGAUACGGGUUGACUUGAGGAAGGUAGGGGAGAAUGGAAUUCCUGGUGGAGCGGUGGAAUGCGCAGAUAUCAGGAGGAACACCAGUGGCGAAGGCGGUUCUCUGGGCCUUUCCUGACGCUGAGGAGCGAAAGCGUGGGGAGCGAACAGGCUUAGAUACCCUGGUAGUCCACGCUGUAAACGGUGGGUACUAGGUGUGGGGUCCAUUCCACGGGUUCCGUGCCGUAGCUAACGCUUUAAGUACCCCGCCUGGGGAGUACGGCCGCAAGGCUAAAACUCAAAGGAAUUGACGGGGCCCCGCACAAGCGGCGGAGCAUGCGGAUUAAUUCGAUGCAACGCGUAGANCCUUACCUGGGUUUGACAUGGAUCGGGAGUGCUCAGAGAUGGGUGUGCCUCUUUUGGGGUCGGUUCACAGGUGGUGCAUGGCUGUCGUCAGCUCGUGUCGUGAGAUGUUGGG